GACGAACGCUGGCGGCGUGCUUAACACAUGCAAGUCGAACGGAAAGGCCCCUUUGGGGGUACUCGAGUGGCGCACGGGUGAGUAACACGUGAGUAACCUGCCCUUGACUUCGGGAUAACUUCAGGAAACUGGGGCUAAUACCGGAUAGGAAUCCUUGCUGCAUGGUGGGGGUUGGAAAGCUUCGGCGGUUUUGGAUGGACUCGCGGCUUAUCAGCUUGUUGGUGGGGUAGUGGCUUACCAAGGCUUUGACGGGUAGCCGGCCUGAGAGGGCGACCGGCCACAUUGGGACUGAGAUGCGGCCCAGACUCCUACGGGAGGCAGCAGUGGGGAAUCUUGCACAAUGGGCGGCAGCCUGAUGCAGCAACGCCGCGUGCGGGAUGACGGCCUUCGGGUUGUAAACCGCUUUCAGCAGGGGCGAAGCUUGUGGUGACGGUACCUGCAGAAGAAGCACCGGCUAACUACGUG
rnacentral:rRNA from 1 species